CAGCAGUCGCCGCGGGAAUACAGAGGGUGCGAGCGUUAAUCGGAUUUACUGGGCGUAAAGCGUGCGUAGGCGGCUAAUUGAGUCGGAUGUGAAAUCCCCGAGCUUAACUUGGGAAUUGCAUUCGAUACUGGUUAGCUAGAGUGUGGGAGAGGAUGGUAGAAUUCCAGGUGUAGCGGUGAAAUGCGUAGAGAUCUGGAGGAAUUCCGAUGGCGAAGGCAGCCAUCUGGCCUAACACUGACGCUGAGGUACGAAAGCAUGGGGAGCAAACAGGAUUAGAUACCCCUGUAGUCCCUGUCUCUUAUAC
rnacentral:rRNA from 1 species